rnacentral:rRNA from 1 species
AUUGAACGCUGGCGGCAGGCCUAACACAUGCAAGUCGAACGGUAACAGGAAGCAGCUUGCUGCUUUGCUGACGAGUGGCGGACGGGUGAGUAAUGUCUGGGAAACUGCCUGAUGGAGGGGGAUAACUACUGGAAACGGUAGCUAAUACCGCAUAACGUCGCAAGACCAAAGAGGGGGACCUUCGGGCCUCUUGCCAUCGGAUGUGCCCAGAUGGGAUUAGCUAGUAGGUGGGGUAACGGCUCACCUAGGCGACGAUCCCUAGCUGGUCUGAGAGGAUGACCAGCCACACUGGAACUGAGACACGGUCCAGACUCCUACGGGAGGCAGCAGUGGGGAAUAUUGCACAAUGGGCGCAAGCCUAAUGCAGCCAUGCCGCGUGUAUGAAGAAGGCCUUCGGGUUGUAAAGUACUUUCAGCGGGGAGGAAGGGAGUAAAGUUAAUACCUUUGCUCAUUGACGUUACCCGCAGAAGAAGCACCGGCUAACUCCGUG